rnacentral:rRNA from 1 species
GACGAACCGUGCGAACGUUAUUCGGAAUCACUGGGCUUAAAGCGCGUGUAGGCGGGUGGGCGCGUCGGCCGCUGAAAUCCCCCGGCUCAACCGGGGAAGGGGCGCCGAGACGGCCGGCCUGGAGGGACGUAGGGAGGGCUGGAACUUCCGGUGGAGCGGUGAAAUGCGUUGAGAUCGGAAGGAACGCCCGUGGCGAAAGCGAGCCCCUGGACGUCUACUGACGCUGAGACGCGAAAGCCAGGGGAGCGAACGGG